AUAUUAAUAAGUUAAAAAAACUACUGAUCUUCAAAAUCAGAAAUAUGCCAUAUAAGUUUAAUAUG
rnacentral:tRNA from 1 species